AUCUGGUCUGAGUGCAGUGGUGUUUGCAACUAAUUGAUCACACCAGGUACAGAUUUCUUUGUUCCUUCUCCACUCCCCCGCUUUGCUUGACUAGCCUAAA
ensembl:Y_RNA Y_RNA Y RNA